UACGGAGGGUGCAAGCGUUAUCCGGAUUCACUGGGUUUAAAGGGUGCGUAGGCGGGCAGGUAAGUCAGUGGUGAAAUCUCCGGGCUCAACCCGGAAACUGCCAUUGAUACUAUCUGUCUUGAAUAUCGUGGAGGUAAGCGGAAUAUGUCAUGUAGCGGUGAAUGCUUAGAUAUGACAUAGAACACCAAUUGCGAAGGCAGCUUACUACCCGAAUAUUGACACUGAGGCACGAAAGCGUGGGGAUCAAACAGG
rnacentral:rRNA from 1 species